rnacentral:rRNA from 1 species
CCUACGGGCGGCAGCAGUGGGGGAUAUUGCACAAUGGGGGGAACCCUGAUGCAGCGACGCCGCGUGGGUGAAGAAGCGCCUCGGCGCGUAAAGCCCUGUCAGCAGGGAAGAAAAUGACGGUACCUGAAGAAGAAGCCCCGGCUAACUACGUGCCAGCAGCCGCGGUAAUACGUAGGGGGCAAGCGUUAUCCGGAUUUACUGGGUGGAAAGGGGGCGCAGACGGCGAUGCAAGCCAGGAGUGAAAGCCCGGGGCCCAACCCCGGGACUGCUCUUGGAACUGCGUGGCUGGAGUGCAGGAGGGGCAGGCGGAAUUCCGGGUGUAGCGGGGAAAUGCGUAGAUAUCAGGAGGAACACCGGUGGCGAAGGCGGCCUGCUGGACUGCAACUGACGUUGAGGCCCGAAAGCGUGGGGAGCAAACAGGAUUAGAUACCCUGGUAGUC